GGCCGCCGGGCAAUCCGCGCAUCCCCCCGGGGAGGGCUGCCCUCGGUGCCACCGCCAGCAUCCCUGGCAUUCACCGGCAUUCCUGGCACCCGCCAAAUGGGAAUUUCAUAGGAACUGCAGGUGUGAAAAUCUUGAUGCUCUGCAUUAGCUGGAUAGAAAGGAUGUACCCAAAUUGUCUACAUUACUCUGUGCUUGAAGAGCAAAGGCAAGAUUUCUUCUUCAACACUGCAUUGCCAGUCCUGGUUGUCAGUGGUGCCAGUUCUCCUUCACCCAUGGAGAAGGACCAAAGUUUUGCAAAACUACAAGGAUUCACUACUGCCUCCAGUGGGGAUGGUGGCUGCAUUUGUUUGCACACAAGAUAUGAAUAAUGAAGGAGUCUAUAAAAUUCAGCUGGUGAAAUUCUAUUGGAGUUUGCAAGAAACAAAACACAAAAACAGCCCAUCAAGUAAAAAUGGCUGAUUGAUGCAAAAGGCAACACAGAUGGAGGUAAUGGAGUUUCAAAAGAGGAAUUAGAGAAGAUCUGAACGGAAGCUCAUAAAUCUGCAGCAAUUCAGCUUUGCCAAGAAUUGCAGUGGGAAAUCCUCAUUAUGGGAGAUAUUUCCGUGCUGUAUUCACCCGUGAGAGCAGCUUUGCUAGGGCAACCAGGGGAAAACAUGAUCUUGUGGUGACAGUGAGACCCAGCCAUCAGCAUUCCUAAGCCUUGUCAGCCUUCGAUGCUGACUCACCAGGCAGCCUUGAGUGAGUCACUUAUUGCCAGAUGCUUCCACCUGACCUUGUCAGGGUGCUGCAAACAAGGAAGCAAAACAGACUUACCUUUGGCAACUCUGGCAAACAAGUUUUAUCAUGUUGUAUUCCAGCUUCCCCCAUGCCACCAGAUGAGUAGUGUGGCUGAGAAAGAAGCCAGGCCAGGCCACUUUUUGUCUGGGGGCUGUUGACCUGGCGUGGUAGAGACACAAAGGAGUUAUUUGUAGCAGAGGAAGAUGAGAGAGGCUCUCCACUGUUGCAAAGGAGACACGAUGACUGGUAGAAAGCUCUUUGUCCAUAGGAAGUGGAGAACCUGGUUGGUGGAAAGCGUUUUGUACAUAGGCAGCAGAGAAUCCAGUGGCUCAGCAGAUCCCAUGGGAACAACCAGUGAGAGAGGAGAAUGCAGAGCCCCAGGGAGGGAGCCACAUGAACACAGGAAAUAACCUCACCAGCCACACCAGCUCAGCUGAAGGACUUAGAGGCUGGCCUUAAAUCUUCCACUAAAUGGAAAAAAGAUCACUGCUUCUAACAGUGGGCUAAUGAAUCUUAGAGGGCUGAAAAAUCUGGGGAUUUUUCUGGUUUAUUCCACCAGUUUCUCACCAGAAGGCACACCACAUUGCUAGUCUGGGAAGGGCUGUCCUUGGUAUGACAAUCUCUGUCUUGAGGCAAUUGCUGUGACAUGCUUUUUCUCUUCUGUGGGAUCAGAUGUGGGCAGCCUGAUCUAUGUUAGAAAAAGAUCAUCAGGAGUGUCUGAAACGAUUUACUUGGCAUUGGGUUUUCCUGAGGGUUUCUCUCUGUAGUGCCUCUCCAGAGCACUUCUUGUACCACCACCUCUGACCACUAACACUGAGCUGGACUAACAUGACUCACAAAGCCUAAAAAAAGAGCUGAGACUAGAGUGGUGCUUGGUCAGACCUACAAGUUCAGGACAGAAGGAGCCAUAAUCACCCUUCUCCCUGCCUGAACUUCAGCUCCCCUCACCUCCCAUUGCUGGCUCUGGACCAAACAUCCCUCUUUCAUUA